rnacentral:lncRNA from 1 species
ACUGGAUUUGGAAAUUGAAUGUUCCCCAUAGCGUCAAAUUUUUUUGGUGGAAACUGCUUUGGAACAUGUUGCCUUGCAAACAAUUUCUACCAAAUAGAAGGAUCCUUGAUGCAGCCCAAAGCUACUGCGAUGUGUGUUGAUGAUCUAGAGAAUGUUAACCAUAUUCUAUUUCAAUGUCCCGUGGCUGUGGGUUGCUGGCAGCUUUUUAAUUAAAACAUUCAAUCUUCCAUGCCUAUUUUUUUGCUA